rnacentral:rRNA from 1 species
GAUGAACGCUGGCGGCGUGCCUAAUACAUGCAAGUCGAGCGAACGGACGAGAAGCUUGCUUCUCUGACGUUAGCGGCGGACGGGUGAGUAACACGUGGAUAACCUACCUAUAAGACUGGGAUAACUUCGGGAAACCGUAGCUAAUACCGGAUAAUAUUUUGAACCGCAUGGUUCAAAAGUGAAAGACGGUCUUGCUGUCACUUAUAGAUGGAUCCGCGCUGCAUUAGCUAGUUGGUAAGGUAACGGCUUACCAAGGCAACGAUGCAUAGCCGACCUGAGAGGGUGAUCGGCCACACUGGAACUGAGACACGGUCCAGACUCCUACGGGAGGCAGCAGUAGGGAAUCUUCCGCAAUGGGCGAAAGCCUGACGGAGCAGCGCCGCGUGAGUGAUGAAGGUCUUCGGAUCGUAAAACUCUGUUAUUAGGGAAGAACAUAUGUGUAAGUAGCUGUGCACAUCUUGACGGUACCUAAUCAGAAAGCCACGGCUAACUACGUG